CGCAAGCCUGACGGAGCAACGCCGCGUGAGGGAGGAAGGCCUGUGGGUUGUAAACCUCUUUUCUCAGGGAAGAAGCUCUGACGGUACCUGAGGAAUCAGCAUCGGCUAACUCCGUGCCAGCAGCCGCGGUAAGACGGAGGAUGCAAGCGUUAUCCGGAAUUAUUGGGCGUAAAGCGUCCGCAGGGGGCGCAUCAAGUCUGCUGUCAAAGGUCGGAGCUUAACUCCGGUUCGGCAGUGGAAACUGGUGCGCUAGAGGGCGACAGGGGUAGAGGGAAUUCCCGGUGUAGCGGUGAAAUGCGUAGAGAUCGGGAAGAACAUCGGUGGCGAAAGCGCUCUACUGGACGGCAACUGACACUCAGGGACGAAAGCUAGGGGAGCG
rnacentral:rRNA from 1 species